rnacentral:rRNA from 1 species
AGUGAACGCUGGCGGUAGGCCUAACACAUGCAAGUCGAACGGCAGCACAGUAAGUGCUUGCUCUUACGGGUGGCGAGUGGCGGACGGGUGAGGAAUACAUCGGAAUCUACUUUUUCGUGGGGGAUAACGUAGGGAAACUUACGCUAAUACCGCAUACGACCUACGGGUGAAAGCAGGGGAUCUUCGGACCUUGCGCGAUUGAAUGAGCCGAUGUCGGAUUAGCUAGUUGGCGGGGUAAAGGCCCACCAAGGCGACGAUCCGUAGCUGGUCUGAGAGGAUGGUAGGCCGCACUGGAGGGUGGACAGGGACCAUACGCCUACGGGAGGCAGCAGUGGGGAAUGUGGGACAACGGGCGCGAGCCUGAUCCAGCCAUACCGCGUCGGAUGAGAAGGCGUCCGGGUUGUAAAGCCCGUUUGUUGGGAAAGAAAAGCAGCAGGUUAAUACCCCGCGGUUCUGACGGUACCCAAAGAAUAAGCACCGGCUAACUUCGUG